AGCGUACACGGUGGAUGCCCUGGCAGUCAGAGGCGAUGAAGGACGUGCUAAUCUGCGAUAAGCGUCGGUAAGGUGAUAUGAACCGUUAUAACCGGCGAUUUCCGAAUGGGGAAACCCAGUGUGUUUCGACACACUAUCAUUAACUGAAUCCAUAGGUUAAUGAGGCGAACCGGGGGAACUGAAACAUCUAAGUACCCCGAGGAAAAGAAAUCAACCGAGAUUCCCCCAGUAGCGGCGAGCGAACGGGGAGCAGCCCAGAGCCUGAAUCAGUGUGUGUGUUAGUGGAAGCGUCUGGAAAGGCGCGCGAUACAGGGUGACAGCCCCGUACACAAAAAUGCACAUGCUGUGAGCUCGAUGAGUAGGGCGGGACACGUGGUAUCCUGUCUGAAUAUGGGGGGACCAUCCUCCAAGGCUAAAUACUCCUGACUGACCGAUAGUGAACCAGUACCGUGAGGGAAAGGCGAAAAGAACCCCGGCGAGGGGAGUGAAAAAGAACCUGAAACCGUGUACGUACAAGCAGUGGGAGCACGCUUAGGCGUGUGACUGCGUACCUUUUGUAUAAUGGGUCAGCGACUUAUAUUCUGUAGCAAGGUUAACCGAAUAGGGGAGCCGAAGGGAAACCGAGUCUUAACUGGGCGUUAAGUUGCAGGGUAUAGACCCGAAACCCGGUGAUCUAGCCAUGGGCAGGUUGAAGGUUGGGUAACACUAACUGGAGGACCGAACCGACUAAUGUUGAAAAAUUAGCGGAUGACUUGUGGCUGGGGGUGAAAGGCCAAUCAAACCGGGAGAUAGCUGGUUCUCCCCGAAAGCUAUUUAGGUAGCGCCUCGUGAAUUCAUCUCCGGGGGUAGAGCACUGUUUCGGCAAGGGGGUCAUCCCGACUUACCAACCCGAUGCAAACUGCGAAUACCGGAGAAUGUUAUCACGGGAGACACACGGCGGGUGCUAACGUCCGUCGUGAAGAGGGAAACAACCCAGACCGCCAGCUAAGGUCCCAAAGUCAUGGUUAAGUGGGAAACGAUGUGGGAAGGCCCAGACAGCCAGGAUGUUGGCUUAGAAGCAGCCAUCAUUUAAAGAAAGCGUAAUAGCUCACUGGUCGAGUCGGCCUGCGCGGAAGAUGUAACGGGGCUAAACCAUGCACCGAAGCUGCGGCAGCGACACUAUGUGUUGUUGGGUAGGGGAGCGUUCUGUAAGCCUGUGAAGGUGUGCUGUGAGGCAUGCUGGAGGUAUCAGAAGUGCGAAUGCUGACAUAAGUAACGAUAAAGCGGGUGAAAAGCCCGCUCGCCGGAAGACCAAGGGUUCCUGUCCAACGUUAAUCGGGGCAGGGUGAGUCGACCCCUAAGGCGAGGCCGAAAGGCGUAGUCGAUGGGAAACAGGUUAAUAUUCCUGUACUUGGUGUUACUGCGAAGGGGGGACGGAGAAGGCUAUGUUGGCCGGGCGACGGUUGUCCCGGUUUAAGCGUGUAGGCUGGUUUUCCAGGCAAAUCCGGAAAAUCAAGGCUGAGGCGUGAUGACGAGGCACUACGGUGCUGAAGCAACAAAUGCCCUGCUUCCAGGAAAAGCCUCUAAGCAUCAGGUAACAUCAAAUCGUACCCCAAACCGACACAGGUGGUCAGGUAGAGAAUACCAAGGCGCUUGAGAGAACUCGGGUGAAGGAACUAGGCAAAAUGGUGCCGUAACUUCGGGAGAAGGCACGCUGAUAUGUAGGUGAAGCGACUUGCUCGUGGAGCUGAAAUCAGUCGAAGAUACCAGCUGGCUGCAACUGUUUAUUAAAAACACAGCACUGUGCAAACACGAAAGUGGACGUAUACGGUGUGACGCCUGCCCGGUGCCGGAAGGUUAAUUGAUGGGGUCAGCGCAAGCGAAGCUCUUGAUCGAAGCCCCGGUAAACGGCGGCCGUAACUAUAACGGUCCUAAGGUAGCGAAAUUCCUUGUCGGGUAAGUUCCGACCUGCACGAAUGGCGUAAUGAUGGCCAGGCUGUCUCCACCCGAGACUCAGUGAAAUUGAACUCGCUGUGAAGAUGCAGUGUACCCGCGGCAAGACGGAAAGACCCCGUGAACCUUUACUAUAGCUUGACACUGAACAUUGAGCCUUGAUGUGUAGGAUAGGUGGGAGGCUUUGAAGUGUGGACGCCAGUCUGCAUGGAGCCGACCUUGAAAUACCACCCUUUAAUGUUUGAUGUUCUAACGUUGACCCGUGAUCCGGGUUGCGGACAGUGUCUGGUGGGUAGUUUGACUGGGGCGGUCUCCUCCUAAAGAGUAACGGAGGAGCACGAAGGUUGGCUAAUCCUGGUCGGACAUCAGGAGGUUAGUGCAAUGGCAUAAGCCAGCUUGACUGCGAGCGUGACGGCGCGAGCAGGUGCGAAAGCAGGUCAUAGUGAUCCGGUGGUUCUGAAUGGAAGGGCCAUCGCUCAACGGAUAAAAGGUACUCCGGGGAUAACAGGCUGAUACCGCCCAAGAGUUCAUAUCGACGGCGGUGUUUGGCACCUCGAUGUCGGCUCAUCACAUCCUGGGGCUGAAGUAGGUCCCAAGGGUAUGGCUGUUCGCCAUUUAAAGUGGUACGCGAGCUGGGUUUAGAACGUCGUGAGACAGUUCGGUCCCUAUCUGCCGUGGGCGCUGGAGAACUGAGGGGGGCUGCUCCUAGUACGAGAGGACCGGAGUGGACGCAUCACUGGUGUUCGGGUUGUCAUGCCAAUGGCACUGCCCGGUAGCUAAAUGCGGAAGAGAUAAGUGCUGAAAGCAUCUAAGCACGAAACUUGCCCCGAGAUGAGUUCU
rnacentral:rRNA from 1 species